AUUGAACGCUGGCGGCAGGCCUAACACAUGCAAGUCGAACGAGUGGCGGACGGGUGAGUAAUGUCUGGGAAACUGCCUGAUGGAGGGGGAUAACUACUGGAAAGGGUAGCUAAUACCGCAUACUAUCGGAUGUGCCCAUAUGGGAUUAGCUAGUUGGUGGGGUAAAGGCUCACCUAGGCGACGAUCCCUAGCGGGUCUGAGAGGAUGACCAGCCACACUGGGACUGAGACACGGCCCAGACUCCUACGGGAGGCAGCAGUGGGGAAUAUUGCACAAUGGGCGCAAGCCUGAUGCAGCCAUGCCGCGUGUAUGAAGAAGGCCUUCGGGUUGUAAAGUACUUUCGUCAGGGAAGCGGUACCCGCAGAAGAAGCACCGGCUAACUCCGUGCCAGCAGCCGCGGUAAUAC
rnacentral:rRNA from 1 species